GCUUGAUGUCAAAUACACAGAAACUUUUUAUCAUGGGAAGCACGAUCUUGAUUCUACUUGUUGCUGCGGUCGCAGCUUUGGGAUUUUUCGAACCAAUAGAUAUAAAGAUGACAAAAUAGUAUGGAUAAUUUAUCAUUUUCUGAAAAGGAAUGAAACAUGACUAAUUAAGAGACAAGAGAA